AACGAACGCUGGCGGCAUGCCUAACACAUGCAAGUCGAACGAUACAUCCGGGUCUAGUUGCGCAGGGGUGCGUAAGGCGUGGGAACGUGCCUUAAGGUUGGGAAAAACUCAGCGAACUUUGGGCUAAUACCGGAAGAUGUUUGCGGACAAAAGAUUUAUCGCCUCUGGAUGGGCAUGCGUCGGGUAAGCUAGUUGGUGGGGUAAAGGCCGACCAAGGGGACGAUCCAUAGCUGGUCUGAGAGGAUGAACAGCCACACUGGGACUGAGACACGGCCCAGACUCCUACGGGAGGCAGCAGUGGGGAAUAUUGGACAAUGGGCGAAAGCCUGAUCCAGCAAUGCCGCGUGAGUGAUGAAGGCCUUAGGGUUGUAAAGCUCUUUUACCCGAGAUGAUAAUGACAGUAUCGGGAGAAUAAGCGCCGGCUAACUCCGUG
rnacentral:rRNA from 1 species